rnacentral:rRNA from 1 species
CAGCAGUGGGGAAUAUUGCACAAUGGGCGAAAGCCUGAUGCAGCGACGCCGCGUGAGUGAAGAAGUAUUUCGGUAUGUAAAGCUCUAUCAGCAGGGAAGAUAAUGACAGUACCUGACUAAGAAGCCCCGGCUAACUACGUGCCAGCAGCCGCGGUAAUACGUAGGGGGCAAGCGUUAUCCGGAUUUACUGGGUGUAAAGGGAGCGUAGGUGGCAUAGCAAGUCAGAUGUGAAAGCCCGGGGCUUAACUCCGGGACUGCAUUUGAAACUGCUAAGCUAGAGUACAGGAGAGGCAAGUGGAAUUCCUAGUGUAGCGGUGAAAUGCGUAGAUAUUAGGAGGAACACCAGUGGCGAAGGCGGCUUGCUGGACUGUUACUGACACUGAGGCUCGAAAGCGUGGGGAGCAAACAGGAUUAGA